GAUGAGCGCUGGCGGCAUGCCUAACACAUGCAAGUCGGACGGGAAGUGGUGUUUCCAGUGGCGGUCGGGUGAGUAACGCGUAAGAACCUGCCCUUGGGAUGGGAACAACAGCUGGGUACGGUUGCUAAUACCCCGCAGGCUGAGGAGCAAAAGGAGGAAUCCGCCCGAGGAGGCGCUCGCGUCUGAUUAGUUAGCUGGUGAGGCAAUAGCUUACCAAGGCGAUGAUCAGUAGCUGACCCGAGAGGAUGAUCGGCCACGCUGGUACUGAGACACGGGCCAGACUGAGACGGGAAGACGCAGCAGGGAACUAUGGGAAACGGCAGAAAGGAAGAUGCAGCAAUGCGGGGAGGGCUAAGAAGGCAAUGGGACGGGAAAGUAGAAGGACUAGGGAUGAAGAACUGCUUUUCCCGGAGAAGAAGCAAUGACGGUAUCUGGGGAAUAAGCAUCGGCUAACUCUGUG
rnacentral:rRNA from 1 species